UACAGAGGGUGCAAGCGUUAAUCGGAAUUAUUGGGCGUAAAGAGCUCGUAGGCGGUUUAGUAAGUCGGAUGUGAAAUCUCCAGGCUCAACCUGGAGGGGUCAUUCGAGACUGCUAUGACUAGAGUUCGGUAGAGGAGUGUGGAAUUCCUGGUGGAGCGGUGAAAUGCGCAGAUAUCAGGAGGAACACCCGUAGCGAAGGCGGCACUCUGGGCCGAUACUGACGCUGAGGAGCGAAAGCGUGGGGAGCGAACAGG
rnacentral:rRNA from 1 species